GCUCUCUCAGAGAUCCAGGUCCGGGAGAUGACAGUGGCUCCCAGAAAGCCCAGGAUUCAAUCGCUGAGAGAGUGCUUAGGCCCGAAUGCCGGCCCAAAUCGUUCUACUCACCGUGUCGGAGGCCGAGGCCGAGGCCGAGAGCGAUGAGAGUGCAGGGAAGUGGGGAAGAGGGGGUGGCCGCCAGGCUCCUCCGCUUCCCUGGGUCCACGGCGGAUCCCUCCCGCUUGUCAGGAGGCGGCCAGCGGGGGCAGGAGAGGAAGGGACGGGCCGAGCGGGUCGGGGCUUGCCGUUUGACUGGAAUUGCCAGAAUGGCGGACCGAGCCCCACGACAACCUACCUCCCUGGGCUCCUCGCCGCAGCGCUGCGGCUCGCCUCCCUCUGCUCCUCCUCCUCCGCCGGAUCGCGGCGAGCGGAUCGAGGACUGCCUAGCGCCCCUCUGCCCACCGGUGGUUGGAGGCCGCGGCGGCUGCGCGUUGAGUCGUUUCCUGCCGGUUGACCUGAGCCUACUUCGCAGUAGCAGGACCGCUGCUGUGGAGCUGGUCGCAGGCGGUGUGUGCCGGUCGCCUAGUCAGGAGAACUAGUCCUCGACUCACGGUGAGGGAAUGGACCGACACGGGUAUUGUACCGCUGAGGGAAAGGAGCGGGACUCCGGACCUCCAGGAGGUAGGGAGUGAGGCCAGUAGGACCGGCGCGCCUCCGGGGGGAUUCCUCCCGGGCGUUGAGUUGCCAACCUGGGACCCGAGGAAGAUCGGCGUGGUGGUGUGCUUUUUGUUGUUGUUAACCCUCCUCGGAUUUCUCGAAUUUCACACCACUGUCCAUAUGCGAUGAUGUUUGUUUGCCCUUGACGCACUUACUCAUGGAUGGUACUUCUUCAGCCUCGUUAGACAGCCUGGUGAUGGAGGAUGAAGAAA
rnacentral:lncRNA from 1 species